GUUUGCGCAAACACACAAUGUAACAUCCCACAUAUGCACAACUACAACCCUACAAUGCAGCUAGUACCCAUACAUAAUCAUAUUACAGCAACUUAUACAUUGAAGGAAAAAAAAGUGUGACAGGGUGAGGGGAGGUGAGCGUGAUACGAUUAGGGGAGCUUUAUGUUGCAUGGUUGGGGGGGAUGAUUGACAGAAAUAGAUGGGUUAAUGUGAUAAGGUGAGUGGCAGAGUGAUGGGAAGUGAGUGACAGGAUUGGGGGAGUUAAUGUGGCAGAGAGAAGGAGGGUGACGGGUGUAUGUGUGUAGUGUUAGCGUUGGAAUUUAUGGGUGUAUGCAAUGUCACACACACACAGAAACAUACAGACACAUAGCACAGGUACACAUACACUUUGACACACAGGUACACAUAUACAUAG